ACUAACCUCCUGUACCCCAACUUCCAUCAUCUCACAGGGACCCCAACUAACCUCCUGUACCCCAACUUCCAUCAUCUCAUAGGAACCCCAACUGACAUCCUGUACCCCAACUUCCAUCAUCUCACAGGGACCCCAACUAAUAUCAUCUCACAGGGAUCCUCACUGCCAUCACCUCACAGGAACCCCAACUAACAUCCUGUACCCCACUGCUAUCAUCUCAUAAAUACCCGAACUUCUAUCCUGUACCCCCACUGCUAUCAUCUCACAGGGACCCCAACUUCCAUCAUCUCAUAAAUACCCCAACUAACAUUCUGUACCCAACUUCCAUCAUCUCAUAAAUACCCCAACUAACCUCCUGUAC